GUUUUGUCUCUAGAGGCACCAUUUAAGCCAGGUGCAGUCACCGCGUGUGUGGGGGGUGUAACAUAAGGGCUAGCUUAGGCAUAUUGAGCAGGGCUGGAGGCUCUACAUUGAAAUAAGACAAAAAUUACAAACCAAAACAGCAAUAGACAAGGCAUAUUGACAUUAGGGAGAGGCAUAAAAAAAGAAGUGCAUGAAAAGCACAAGGUUUUUCAGUGUGUUCUAUUUGAAUAAUCUAUUGUGUGGUAUGGAAAUUCCAUUUGAAUGAUUUCAUUUAUUCUAACAGGACAAGUUUAACAACUCAUUAUAGAAAAAUCAUUCAAAGCACAACUUUCCUGCAAAAUGUGUUUGUUCCCACAUGUUUUAAUUUAUAUCAAUAUUUUAGAGUGCCCAGUAAUUUUGUGUUUCAGAUUAAGGCUUUAAUGAUGAUCACAGAACCUUUGGGACACAUUUGUCCUGCAUCAUGAAUAUCUCUAAAAACAAAGGCCUUUUUCCUAUCUUGGAGAUGGAGAGAGAAUAUGAAGGAGGAUGCACAGCUCAUUUGCUCUUCGAAACACAAGCCUCCCUAAGAAAGCACUUUAAAAAACAGCACUUUACUCUGCUGCUUCUUACUCAAUUCACAUGGAGCAACCGCAUGAUCCAUGCAUUGGUUUAAACUUUGAAGUGACAAUCAUGCACUUAAAUUGCCAUACCAUGAAGCUAAUCUUCGCCUAGAUGUUGAUAUCAUCCAUUUUAAUCUCAAAAGAGCUGCACCUUGAGAUAAACUGAUCCAGAUAUUGUCCCUGAAGUCACUAGCCUACCCUUCAUCUUUAAGUUUUGUUUUACCUGAACCACUGUGACACUUUUGAAAUAAGGUCAAUGUCUUACAGUGUUAUGGCUUUCCGAUGCUAUUGUUUUAUCUACUUGGAUUGUUUUGUUGUAGUAAUAACGGCAGCUAGCAAUGUCAAAUGGAGUUGAUAUCUACCCUAAAUUCUAUUUUUUCUCUCACAAUUUAAGUGAAUAAACUUGAGCUUUUUGAGGGGUGGUAGGUAGCCUAGUGGUUAGAGUAUUGCCAGUAACCAAAAGGUUGCUGGAUCGAAUCCCCGAGCUGACAUGGUGAAAAUCUUUUAUUCUGCCCCUGAACAAGGCAGUUACUGUUCCCUAGUAGGCCGUCAUUGUAAAUAAUAAUUUGUUCUUAACUGACUUGCCUAGUUAAAUAAAAAUAUCUCUGUUUUCUUGUGAAAUUGAACAAAAUGAAAUGUCCUACAUUUCUGACUGCUGAAGACGUAUGUUUAACGCACAUUUUAUUUGAGUGAAAUGUAUCUUUUUUGAUUGUCAAGUUUAAAGGAUUCAACAAAGUUGUAGAGGUGGCGUUAUGAUCAGAAAAUGAAAUGAAUUUAGUGUAUCUUUAUGGUUGUAACAAGGGUUAACAUUUUCAAUGCAAGGUACUCAAUUGUUGUGCAUUUGGACUUAAUCACGAAUAGGCCAAACACAUUGUCUUGACAAAACCUAAAAUGGUCCAACUCUUGCUGCAAAAAUGUCCCUGAAACUAUAAACCCAACAUGAUCUAAUAAGCAUUUUAGAUUACAUGCAAACAGGUUAUCUUGCCCCUUAUCUUCCAUACUAAAAUAUCAAAUAAAUUAUAUGAAAUGUGUACAAGAAAGUAAUACUAGGCCUGAUAUCCAACUAGACCUGGGCAGGAGUGUGAAUGGUCUCAAAGUCCUUGUAAGAGCAAGCAAGGUCCUCACUGAGGGCUGUGUUGGUCUCUUAUAAAUAAGUUGAAUGUAUUGAAUUUGGACUGUUAUCAUCUAAACAAAAGGUUUCUACCCUUUAAGCUCUGGAACUCCUUUACAAUUUGAUUCUAUUGUUUUGAUUUGGAUGAUGAUUUGUAUUCGUUUUUAGAACAAAAGGUAUGUUUAGAAAAUGGAAAAGAUUACCCGUCAGUGUGGUGAAAGAAAUAAGAGGGAGAUGUUUAUUUGCAACAGAUUUCUAUUGCAUGAAACACCAAUGAUGUUCAAGCAUGUUUAGGAGAUUAUAGUUUCAGAAGCAUAGGCUACUUAGCACUCAAGCUCCACAAAACACUAUUAACCACCUAACUGCAGUAGUGUCAACUAAAAGAAGAGACCAAAAGAGUUCAGGCUUCACUAAGGACAUCUUUAAAUAUGUUACUCAUUUAUAGUUGUGUAUGUAGUGUGCUGUGAGAAGUAUGGGUAUUGAAGAAGCUUUGUUGGUGUGUUUAUCAUGCCAUUUUUGUAGUAGAAUUUUAAACUAAAUGUCUAUGGUAGUGAUAUAAAAAUGAAAUGGUGAAGCUAAAAAGUUGAGUGUAUCUUUGGAUAAAUGCAAUGCUAAAACGUGUCCUGUAGUUAUAUAGAAUAUUAGAUGACUCAAAACAAGAAAGCAAUUGUUCCGUGUUCUAGAACUUUCCUUAACAUGUGCACUGUAUUAUUUAAUGUUCUACAUGUAUGGUACUGUAUGAAUAUUCAUUCAAUGCCUUGUAAUGUUUGUAAAAGGUUGCAAUGUUUAGAAAACCAAUCUGAAAAAACCCAAGUGUAUGCAUGCCAACAGUUGGGUCCGAAACUGAAAACGGUCAAAAAUGAACUAAAAAAUGGUGCUAUAACAUAUGAAGGUGCUUAUAUGGACCCCAGAUGCAUGCAUGCAAAGAGGACAUGUCAUGUUUAUACAUGUUGUGCAGUCAUCAAAUGACUCGCAAGAUGUCCUCCCAGAACACAAAUGGUAUGGUGUAACUGUAAAUACUGUCAAUGGAAGCCUCAUCACCUAUCAAGACAUUUACUACCAACACUUGGCCACCAGUUUACACUGGCCCCAGGGAGAGUCUGUCAUUACUACAGCAUUGAUCAAGUUGUGUUUUUCUACCAACAAAACACAUGCCUACAGACAGACAGAGACCUGUAUCUCCAGCAGCUUUGGAGGCAGUCAGUCCCAAGGUGGCUGAUACUUUUGGUAAAGGAAAUAGGGAUUGCAUCAGUGAUGCCAAUUUACUGCUACGCUCCCUUUGUGAUUAUGCACCAAAAUAUCUAUCGACAAUCUAAUUAUUUGUUUGUUUAUGCUUUUGAUUCAAAUGUUUUGUCUAUGAACAGCUUUUACAGGAAAAUGUCGUAGUUUUACAGUUGUAUUAACCAUUCCUUUUAUUUUAUUUUUCAAUAAAAGUUUGAUCAGAU